rnacentral:lncRNA from 1 species
UUAAAUGAAAGGAUUUUGAAUCAAUUAACCAAUCUUUAGCCUAAAACUUUAUAUAACAAGGUCUUCUCAUAGCAACUUCAUUAAAACCAUUUUCCUCCAUAGAUCUUGAAGACCUAACCCAAAGCACUUCCAAAAUUUAAUUAUAUCCAAUUAUUAUUAGAUAUAUCCAAUAAUAUCACUUCUCCUCUCCCUUUAUAGUAUUUGCCCUUCAGAGUCUUUGGAAAAUGCCACAAGAGGAUCUUCCCUACUCCAUUUCCUGCCUUUCGUUUCAUUGAUUCUCUCUUCUAAAGUCAGAUAAGUACACAACGAUAUCAGAAGGAUGCAGUUUUUUCAGCUUUUACAGCCAAUAUAAUGGUAUUUUCUAGCAGAUGCUCAAAUACUGCUCAUGGAUUGUUUGCAAGUUUCAUAGACAUAUAAUUUCAAGCUGAAAGAAAAGAGCUCCCAUGCUGAACACUGACAAGAGGCUUCUCUAACCCACUGGAUGGUGACAGCCUGGAGCCCUGAUGUUGUCUUGUGCCAGAGGACAAUGGCAUAAGCUGUGGAUCCUAACCACUGGUCUGGAAAACAAAACCUACCUUAUGAAGAACCGGUGUCAGAUUAUAGCCUGGAUGAUGCCUCUCCAGAUAAGGGACAGGAAGAUCUUUCUCUGGAGAAACUGAAACACCAACUGGGGAUCCCCAACAAAAAUAGGUCCAACUUCUCCAUUGUCCUUCCACCAGUCUACAGCUCUGCCUGCCCUGAGAACUUCCAAUCAGCAUUUGGGUGCUUCACCCUCCAAUAGAGAGAGACACACAAGGAUCGUCAGAAGGUAAGGAGUGCUAGAAGGAAAAGGCUAAAUCAAGAGGAAAUAGCAAAUAAGGGGGUACCUGACUAAGCGUCGACUCUUGAUUUCGGCUCAGGUCAUGGUGUCUGGGUUGUGGGAUUGAGCCCUGCUUCAGGCUCUGUGCUGAGUGUGGAUCCUGCUUGAGAUUCUCACUCUCUCCCUCUCUGCCCCUCUCCCCUUCCCCUGCUCACACUCUCUCUCAUCCUCUCUCUUUAAAAAAAAAGAAAGAACAAAUAAGUAGAAAAGGGGGUG